rnacentral:misc_RNA from 1 species
CACAAUAAAACAUAUGAAGGCUGCACCGCCAACAGGCGGCAAGGCUGGAGUAUUUUAUUACCCUUGUCUUUUGCGCACUUGUUGUUUCCUGGGCGGGUUCGCCCGCCUCCAGGACCACAUGAUAAACCUUUUUUAUGCAGUUGCAAUCAGCGUCAGUACAACAAAUGUAAAUCAUUUA